GGCGAACGGGUGAGUAACACGUGAGAAACGUGCCCCGUGAGACCGGGACUAACCCAGGGUAAACAUUGGGCUAAUACCGUGAUGCCUUCACCGGAUCGCAUGGUCUGGUGAAGAAAUGGAUUCCGCUCCGGGAUCGUCUCUGCGGCCUAUCAGCUUGUUGGUGAGGUAACGGCUCACCAAGGCUUCGACUGGGUAGCUGGUCUGAGAGGACGAUCAGCCACACUGGGACUGAGACACGGUCCAGACUUCAUACGGGAGGCAGCAGUUAGGAAUCUUGCACAAUGGGGGAAACCCUGAUGCAGCGACGCCGCGUGCGGGACGAAGGCCCUCGGGUCGUAAACCGCUUUCAGCAGGAACGAAAUUGACGGUACCUGCAGAAGAAGCUCCGGCCAACUACGUGCCAGCCGCCGCGG
rnacentral:rRNA from 1 species